UAUGCUCUAACCUCUUUCUCCGAUUUCCUUUUAGCGUACCGCCAGAACCUCGGUCUGCCAAUAUCCGCCAUCGACCUCCGUCUCAACUGCCAAUAUCCCGCUGUCAACCUCCACCAACACUAGCAGAACCUCAAUUGUCUUUUUCCUCCACCUAUAAACUUUAUCUCCUCCACCAAAACAACAACUAUUCAAUUAAUCAAAGCUCUAUGGUUUCAAAUAGUCACAAAAUUCUAGGGUUUUUUUCUCGAUUAAGCUCGACUACAACUCCUUGUUCUCACUGAGCCUUAAUUCUAGAUUCCAUUAGCGAGGACGAAAAUGCAACUGAUAGCUGUGGGAUAAAUAAUUAAUCUGAAAAAUAUUUGAAUAGUCAUGAAUCAAGAAGGGUGCUCAAGCAAAAAUAAGAAAAUAUCCAACCGCAUUCCAAUUGGAUCCCUUGCAUCUUUGCGAAAUCAAAGGGUUUCGUCGUUGACAACAUAAAGAACCUUUCAAGCUACAAGGUCCAAUGAAAAUGAAGAACGACAAUCAAAAGCUGGAUUACCUCUAUCUUUGCAAAACCAAAAGGUUUCGUCGUUGACAACAAAAAGAGUCUUGAAUAUAAGGUCAAAUGCAAAUGAAGAACGACAAUCAAAAGCUGGAUUACCUCUAUCUUUGCAAAACCAAAAGGUUUCGUCGUUGACAACAAAAAGAGUCUUGAAUAUAAGGUCAAAUGCAAAUGAAGAACGACAAUCAGAAUUAGGAUCUCAAUUACAUGAACAAGUGCAACAAGUGCCAUGGAAUUCAGCGUCUGAACCCAGAAUUGCGACUUGAUCCUGACAUGCUAAGGUUCGUAGAAGCUUCCUCUGCACACCAAGUUGUUGUUCAACUAAACAAUCGACCAUAUACUGGUAGUAACAAUCAAGGUGGAGUAGAUCAAGAAAUGGAAGAAGAUGAUGGAACUGAAGAACUAGACCUUACUUGAGAUGAAUUUUGAAUUGCUAUAGAUGAAUGUUCUAUAGAAAUCUUGUUAUCAACAUUUUUAAACUUACUCUUGAAAUGUAUUAAACUUAUGCAUUUGGGGUAGAACAUUUGCUUUAUGGAUAUUAUUUACUU